rnacentral:lncRNA from 1 species
AAAAAUGAAUCAAACUAUGAAAAUACAUUCAAUUUAUUAUUUUGUUUCUUCAUGUGUAGUAAACCACAGGGUAAUCUAAUAACACAUAUAAGAUCCACUUCCACGUAUAUGCAUCCCUAUACUACACACCACUGCUGCCGCAUACUUUAUCCAAUACUGGCAAAAUACCUACGCUUUGCUAUGGACAGAAGAAAAAUAAUAUUAUAAUAUGUCAUAGAAAAAUAUAUCUUUUAUCAAAUAUAUGUUAGUCACUACUAAAAAAACCCUCCUAUAGACCGGCCUCAUAGGUGCCAGUUCAUUUAAAAUCGGCACCUAUAUACCUUUUCCCAUCUCCGGACGAUGAAAAUGAUAUAAAACCGACACCUUUAAGCUAAUAGGUGUCGGUUCUAAAGAAAAACCGGUACCACUACUAUAGGUGCCGGUUUUUUAAUAGAACCGACACCUAUAAUAUAUGUGUCGGUUCUAUAAAAAAAAAAGACACCUAUAGCCGGUUCUAUAAAAAAAAACGACACCUAUAGCUAUAGUAUAGGUGUUGGUUUUUUAACAGAACCAACACCUAUACAACGAGCUGAGCCAAUCGGAUGUGGCUCCACCGACGAAAAUAUCUACCCACCGAUUUUAAGUGUGCAUCGCUUCCUUUUCUCUCCCAUCCUCUUUUCAUCUCUCUCCCGUCCUUUUCUCUCCCAUCCUUUUCUCUCCCCCAUUAUCUUCUUUUCUAUAUUUGGAUCCCUCCCAACGGUUGCUCACGGCGGGCGGCCAGUUGGCAGGUGGUGCGCGGAGGACGGCUGGCGGCCUCCCCAUGGCGGAGCGCGGAGGACGGCGAGCGUCCGUGUCGAGGGGCUUAGGGAGUGGCCGGUCGUCGGGCGGCCUCCCCACGGUGGCGCGCGGAGGUCGGUGGGCGGCCUCCCUACGGCGGCGCGCGGAGGAUUGUGAGCAGCCGCGUUGAGGGGCUCAGGGGCGGCUGGUCGGCGGGCGGCCUCCCCACGGUGGAGCGUGGAGGUCGGCGGGUGGCCUCCCUUCGGUGGCGCGCAGAGGACGGCGAGUGGCCACGUCGAGGGGCUCAGGGGCGGCCGGUCGGCGGGCGGCCUCCCCACGGUGGCGCACGGAGGUCGGCGGGCUGUCUCCCUACGACGGGGCGCGGAGGAUGGCGGGCGGCCUCCCUACGGCGGCGCGUGGAGGUCGGUCGAUGGGUGGCCACAUCGAGGGGCACAGACUCCCCACAGCGGCGUGCGACGGUGAACUCCCCACGGUGGCGCGGAGGGAGGCGAGCGGCCGGUCGGCGGGUGGCCUCUGACGCGUCCGUUUGUGCUUCUUUCCCUUCCUCCCUCUUGGAUAAUUCAAGAUUUGUUCUUUGAUGUUCUUGAAUCUCAGGUCUCUAUGUUGUUUGG